rnacentral:misc_RNA from 1 species
UUUUUAUUGAAAGUGAACAUGAAAUACAGAAAUUGAAUAAUAAAAUACAGAAAGUGAAUAAAAAUAUAUGAAAAUAUUGUAACUCACUAUAUAAGGUGAGUUGUUACACCCAACAAAAUUCAUUAUAAAAAGAUGCUCCUUUGACAGCUCCAUCAAUGGAUGCCCAUACCAAAGAAGAAAAGCAUAGUUGUUUAUAUUUUUUUUUCUUUAAUUAUUAUUAUUUUUGGACUAUAUGCAGUUGACAUUUCUGUAGAAAAGUACUAAUAAUUUUAAAGUUUCAAUCCCUCACAAGUCUCAUCAGCUUCAAUGCCUUUGAAUGCUGAUGCCAAUCUUCUCUCCAGGACAAACCAUAUUAAAUUCAUCGGUUACACUUCUCUCCUCAUUUCAGGAAAUCCUGCUGAUAAAAUACACAAGGAAAUCAACAACAAAAGAAACAAAGAAAAUUUAUUGUGGUUCGGUUACCUUACGUAUACCCACAACAAGAAGUUGCAAUCACAUUAGUUUUGUCAAAUUCCAUAUUAUUAUUAUAAAUAGAGACCUUUUGAAGUCCAUCUGUUUCUACAGGGGCAGAUCUUAACAUUAGUUUAAGAGGAAUAAUGGGUUGAGUAAUUUGUUAGCCAUUCUUCAACUUGAGCCAGCUUCAGAAAUUGAGUUAGAUUUAUUUUACUAAUUUAUUUUCUCUACAUAAUAUCUAGCCCAUUCUUAUCUCUAUGUUAGGCUUGUGAGGGUGUGGGACAUCCUAUCCUCCCUUUAGUGAUUCAAGUCUAGUUCAUUUUCUUUACAUAAGAUGCAUAACAUAUUGGAAGCAUAGUGCCCUUGCAUACAUAACAUGAUGAUAGAUACACUUCUCAUCAAUUUGAGUAAGAAUCUAAGUUCGAGUUCCCCUUCUUUGUUUGUAAAUCUAAGUUCAAAUUCCCUUUCCUUCCUUCUAAAAAAGGACAAUAAUGAGGUCAAAUAGAUCUUUAUAUGUGGUUGUUUGUAGAUGUAAUCAUGUGUAGAAAAGAUGCUUUUGUGCGUGUGAGAGAGGCAUUGAGGGAGUGAUAAAGUGGGAGUGGGAAUAAUUAGGUAAUAAUUAGCAGCUAAAAGAAACAAACAGCCUAGAAAGUUAGGUAUGUUGUUCACAGAUUACAAAACUUGGAAAAACUAGACUGCUGGUGCACAAAGUUUCAAGCUUUUUUGUGGGUUUCAAAGGACCUUUCCCAUCUUUUACAGUAAAAAGGCCAUCAUUCAUCAUCCUACCUCUUGUAUAUGAGCAAGAGAGAGGUGAGAGACCCCUCUCUUUGGAAAAGGAUAUGUUGAGGUUAAGCAAUAAAAAUAAAGAAAUCAUUACCUCCCAAACCCAAGUCUCGGGUUCAUUAUAUUUUCCUAAUUUUUCUGUCCGUUUCUCUGUGAAUGUUACAAGAGAGAGAGAGAGAGAGA